UGGGGGGGAGCGUCCCGGAGCGCUCAGAAUCGAAGGAAAAAUACUGCAGAGGAUGCUGGAAAUCCGGAAUGAAAACCGUAGUGGCCGGGGAUCGCGCGCGCAGCAGUCUGAACAUUGAUGACGGAGCCUCAGUGACGGCAGCGGAGGGAGCAUGAAAAAGGCACACAAAUGAACCGGGAGGGGAGGGGUAAGUACUGAACAAGUCUAUACUGUACAGAAACAGAACAUUAUGUUCGUUCAUAGCUGUUGAUAAACCUGCAGUAACAUAAUGACCGAAUCUCCUCUCUCCCUCAGUGACCUAAUGAACUGCAGGUACAAUUGCGAUAAACUGCUGGAGGAUUCUGUAAUUCAGGUGUUAAAUUAUAUUUUUGAUGUUUAUAUUUUUGAGACAUAAUCAAUCUCAUAAGACAUGAUGGGAGCCGGUUGUGACUAACUUCGCAGGAGAUCCUUUCUCAAGGAUGAGAAAGAAGACUAUUUAUAAACAACAAACUGUUCUCAUUCCUUAUCAGUCAUUUUCUCAUGGAACAAUAGUCUGCAGUUAGUUUAAUAUGGGAGAGCUGUGUUGCAUUUUUUUUUCAAAAAGGAAUCAUCGCAAAAGACAAUAGGUGAAAGGUCACCUAAUCAACUGUAUACACAGAGAUUGAUUCAAAAAGAGAAUCAGAAGAAUUGGGAAGAAGAAAUAAAGAACUUGGGAGUCGCGAACCAUAUUCCAGCUUCUACAGAAGGACGAUCAAGAUUACGAUAUAAACAAGCCAACGUCAAAUCACUGGACACCUUUGGGUGAUCGAACCGGGAACCGUACAACAAUACUUGGAUACCUUUUGAUGGACAUUAAAAAAGGACACAUUAAAAGACAUUAAA